rnacentral:tRNA from 1 species
AGUUUGUUGGUAGAGCAUGGUGUUUGCAACGCCAGGGUUGUGGGUUCGAUUCCCAC